CGGCACAGCCAUAUCGCCCUGCAGCCCAAGACUAGGUGCUCAUUGAAGCUAAGCAGGGCUGAGUCUGGUCAGUACCUGGAUGGGAGACCACAUGGGAAAACUAGGUUGCUGUUUUAA
ensembl:rRNA 5S_rRNA 5S ribosomal RNA